CUACGGGUUGCUGCAGUGGGGAAUAUUGCACAAUGGGCGCAAGCCUGAUGCAGCCAUGCCGCGUGUAUGAAGAAGGCCUUCGGGUUGUAAAGUACUUUCAGCGGGGAGGAAGGGAGUAAAGUUAAUACCUUUGCUCAUUGACGUUACCCGCAGAAGAAGCACCGGCUAACUCCGUGCCAGCAGCCGCGGUAAUACGGAGGGUGCAAGCGUUAAUCGGAAUUACUGGGCGUAAAGCGCACGCAGGCGGUUUGUUAAGUCAGAUGUGAAAUCCCCGGGCUCAACCUGGGAACUGCAUCUGAUACUGGCAAGCUUGAGUCUCGUAGAGGGGGGUAGAAUUCCAGGUGUAGCGGUGAAAUGCGUAGAGAUCUGGAGGAAUACCGGUGGCGAAGGCGGCCCCCUGGACGAAGACUAACGCUCAGGUGCGAAAGCGUGGGGAGCAAACAGGAUUAGAUACCCGUGUAGUC
rnacentral:rRNA from 1 species